GGGGGCAUAGCUCAGUUGGGAGAGCAGCAGACUGAAGUCACCUCAACAUUCUGAAGGUCCCGCGUUCAAUCCGCGGUGCCCCCA